rnacentral:rRNA from 1 species
AAUGAACGCUGGCGGCAGGCCUAACACAUGCAAGUCGAACGAGUGGCGGACGGGUGAGUAAUGUCUGGGAAAAUGCCUGAUGGAGGGGGAUAACUACUGGAAACGGUAGCUAAUACCGCCUACCAUCGGAUUUGCCCAACUGGGAUGAGCUAGUAGGUGGGGUAAAGGCUCACCUAGGCGACGAUCCCUAGCUGGUCUGAGAGGAUUACCCGCCACACUGUAACUGAGACCCGGUCCAGAUUCCUACGGGAGGCAGCAGUGGUGAAUAUUGCCCAAUUGGCGCAAGCCUGAUGCAGCCAUGCCGCGUGUAUGAAGAAGGCCUUCGGGUUGUAAAGUACUUUCAGCGGGGAGGCGUUACCCGCAGAAGAAGCACCGGCUAACUCCGUGCCAGCAGCCGCGGUAAUAC